rnacentral:lncRNA from 1 species
GGAACUGUCAUGCGGGCUGACAGCUGGCACACCCUCCUGUCGCCCUCCACCCGCCUGCAGAAAGCCCACUCCCUACAGUCACCUUGACAUUGCUCACCUGCCUGGGCCUCAGCCCAUGACCAAGGAAACUUUUGCCCUCCCUCCCCAGGAGCUCACUUACAGGCCAUCUUCAAAGGUACUGCCUACCUGAACCUGCCUUGUCCCAAAGGACACACUUCAAUCUGGGGAGAGUUUAAAGUUGUAGACAUAUCCAUUUUCAUUUAAGGAAUAUGAAGAUCAGGGAGGCAAAAUAUAGAGAUAUAGAGAGGAAAAACUGAGAGAUGAUCAGAAAUUCAGACGCAUUCGGAAUGAGCACCCUUGACCAUACCAAGAACAAAGACUCUAUAAAAAUGUGAAGUCUUAUUAUUGUUCAUCCAUGUUCUACGUGGGAUCCACCCAAGACAUUGAAAACUGUACAGAACAGGGUGAAAUUGAAUCAGAUCAUUCUGUACUCCUAACAAGGUCCACCCCAUGAGAGACUUGCAGCAGAAUUAAUGACACUGUAUAUUUUCCUCUACUAACAACAACAAGAACAACAACAACAACAAUCUAGGAAAAUCAAAGGCAGCCCGACAUGGAAAAAAACACAAAAUGAAUAUUUGGAUUACAAAUAGUGUGAUGGGAAGAACACACUGCCAAAAGUCCACCUAGUAUGUUGAAAUUACUGUUUCUAGCACAUAUAAGGUAUGAUUUUUUAAUGUUUUAAACAUUCAUUAUUGGCUACUUUAACUAUUUUUCCUUGGUAACUGCAGCAGAAAUUGAAAAAUGAUAGAAAAGCAGAAAAGAAUGGCAUAACUUAUCAGAUAUAUGUAAGUGUGUAAACUUUGGGUUUUAUUGUUUAGCUCAUCUAGUAACUUGGGAAAAUAAUAGCUAUUCCAUAAGAUUGUUGAGAAAAUUAAAUGAGAGAACACAGUUAACAGACUUAGCUGAAUGUGUAGCAUAUAGAGGGCACUCAGGCAUCCCUGGCAUACAGGUAUGAGUCUGCAAUUAACAAGGUAAUGGAAAGAGUGUUGCAGAUCUCUGACCGAAGUAUUUUCUCCUGGGCUUACAGUAUUUAUCAGCUAUCAUAAUACAAAUUUGCUGCCAAUUUGUACUGACUUCUGAAAAAUACUUUAUCCAUUGUCUUCUUACAUCAGAAUCAACUCCCUAAAUUCUUCAGCACUGGCUUUGUAAACUGGUUUCUGGUCUUUGUUUCUGUCAACUUACCUAUAAAAGGAUACAAAAACUGAAGAACAGAGAGGAGCAGAUACCCUGGAAAGCCGAAAGUUUUAUUGACCAAAGACUGAGUCUCGGAAUGUUUUGAUUGUGGAGUUUAUAGAGUUCAGGCUGAAGUUUUAUAAAAAUAACUUGCAGCAGCAUGGAGGACUGAUGAGAAAGUAGACAGAUGCUGGAAGCAGGAAAACUGAACAGCAGGUCACUGGCCAAGGAGAAUCAAAGAGCUAGAUGCUGAGAAUAAUGCAGCCAUAACGUGAAAUCUUUUUGAGACCACUCACUCUGGGAGAAAGCAACUGGCUAUGUCAUGAGGAAAUUGAAACCACCUAUGGAGAAAGGCCCACAUGGUGAGAAAGUAAAGCCUCUUCCCAAUACCAAAAUUCUGUAAGUCUGCUACGGUGACAUUUCUGGUUAGGAGUCAGAGUGGAUGGGACACUGAGCAAUAAGAAUGCAGAGACAUGAUGGCUGAAGCUGGAGCUUUUCCCUGAAGCAACCACCUGUUGGAAACUUCAUGUUGAAGAUGACUGAAUAAUAAGACAGAGGGGUCUGGGUCCCUGGUGGAUAUUCCAGAUCUGGGUGUUCGUGGAGAUAUGAGAAAGCAAUAAACUUCAAUUUUGCUUAAAUAGCUGUUACUUGGGGCAUUCUGUCAUUUAUGGACA